GCAGCCCAGCCCUGACCCUGCAGCUCUGGGACGGGAGCCCAGCCCAGAAUCCCCAGGUGUUCCCAGUCCUUGGUCAAGACAGAACACAGACCUCUCACCAUGGACUUUGGGAUCAGCUGGGUUUUCCUUGUUGCUGUUUUAGGAGGUGUCCAGUGUGAUGUGCAGCUGGUGGAGUCUGGGGGAGGCUUGGUGAAGCCUGGGGGUUCCCUCAAACUCUCCUGCCUGGCCUCUGGAUUCACCUUCAGUAGCUGCAAUAUGCACUGGGUCCGCCAGGCUCCAGGGAAGAGGCUGGAGUGGGUCUCAUACAUUAAUAGCGGUGGUAUUUACGCAAACUACGCCAACUCUGUGAAAGGCCGAUUCACAAUCUCCAAAGACAAUGGCAAGAACAUGCUUUAUCUGCAAAUGAACAACCUGCGAGCUGAGGACACGGCCGUGUAUUACUGUGCCAGAGACACAGUGAGGGGAAGUCAUUGGGAACACAGACACAAACUUCCCUGA